UAUGGAAGGGGCAGGACAAGGAUGGGGAUCUUAAGAGUAGCAGGGCUGUGAUGUAUUCGGAAGGAUGUUCCCAGUUGGACUUUAGAGGAGCUGCAGCAAUGCCCAGCAAUUAAUGGCAGUGUUUUCAGUGGCUGGAUUUCAGGAGAGACCCAAGUGCGGGAGGCAACACGGACCAGCAGACAUCAAUGACAGAGCAGAGAGACAAGAAUGGCAAGGCAAGGAGUGAACUGCUGCUGCAACCAUCCUGCUCAUGAGUGUGUGUGAGGCUCAGGACCUGCUCAUGAGUGUGUGUGAGGCUCAGGACCAACACCGCAUUGUGAACUGCUACACACAGGAAAUAGGAACACCAGCCCUGGGGCCAAAAGGAGGAGAGACGCAGCCUGCGGUUGGUGGAACUUGCUUGCUUGAACUCAAAGUGGCCGUCUUCCAACAGCCAGCCUGCCCCAGGCUCUGUCACAGCUCAGGACACUGAGGACAAAGACCUGCUUGAUUUAUUCCCUUCUAUUCCAGAAGAAAGACAAGGAUCUAAAAGCCCUUGUUGCUCAUGAACAAAUCCCAUGCAGAAGUUCAUGGUUUAGGCAUUCUUCUGGGAGAAGACACUUUAGGAACUGUUUGGAAGUCAGCAAAUACCAUUUUUCACUGCAAAUGCUGCUGUAGCCAGAGAUGUUCAGGCCAUUCAAGCAUCGGGGCCAGCCUCUUUUUUAGUUAAUGCAAUCCAGACUCUCCACUGCUGCACCUCAUCCAGCACACAUUAUUAAAAGGCAGCUUCCAGGAAGGCAUUUAAUCUUGGUCUGAAGUCUUUCAGGACAUGAAGAAUUCCCUGCUUCCCAAAGUCAUUUGUUCCACUUUCUCUGCUUUAAUUCAAUAGCCAUCAAUGCUGGUGACCACCCCAUCGUGCUGGGGCUGGCGUGGAGCAGGGGCAGGAAGAGUUGGAAUGCAGCUCCUGCUCUGCCAUCGUGGCCACGGUGCUUCCACCAUGAGCUGUCUGUUUCAAGGCAU
rnacentral:lncRNA from 14 species